rnacentral:tRNA from 1 species
GUCUGGGUGGCUCAGUUGGCUAAGUGUCUGACUUUGGCUCAGGUCAUGAUCUCACAGUUCAUGGGUUCAAGCCCCAUGUCAGGCU